rnacentral:tRNA from 2 species
AUUUAUGUAGUUUAAAAAAAACUUUAUAUUUUCAUUAUAAUAUUAAUAUUUAAUUAUUUAUAAAUA